GAAGCGUUAUUGCUGGGUCAAAGCGUUUUUUCAGGGUGGGGAGUCAAGUGUCACGAGCAUUCUCCUUGGAGCUGAUGAGUGGUAUUUGAGGGCCUGACUAUAUAAUUUACUCCUUUCUUGGUGUUUGGGAUGACUACUGUUUUUUAUUUUUUGUCUGUGAGUAUGGUGGUCUCCAGUAACCUGCAACGCAAACCCCCACUGACCCACCCCUGGUUGUCAUGUCCCAUCCCACCCUGGAACUGAUAAGGAUCCUCAAUUAUAGCCUACAGUUGAAAAGGAUCAGAACUUGAGAGAAAUAUUCCCAGCUUUCCUGCUUCUGGCUCUCAAGCAACCUGUGAACCUGGCCCAACUCAUGGUCAGAAGCAACUCCCAGCUGAUCUACAUGUAUCUAAUGGAACAUUCAUGCCUUCAAGAAAUUUAAAACCUGUCAAUUCAUCUCAACUGCUACCAUACUAUACACUCCCCACAACCAUCAUGAUCCAUGGAUCCUACACAUGGCUGUCCCAGAAUGUGGUAUGCUGUAUGAGAUAUACCAAAUGCCCUCAUUGAAACUAUGUGGGUGAAACUAAGCAAAAACAACACUGCAGAAUGAACAAACUCAGGAAAAAGUUAAAGGACAGAGACGCGUAGACACAGAUGGGAGAGCACGUUUCGUAAAACAACUGCUUUCUCACCUUGCAAUUCUCAUGCUCAAAUGAAGUUUACAAAACGCCUUCAGAAGAUGGGCCUGAGACCUAACGUUCCUAAUUUGUUUUACCGGACAUCAAAACCAGGGAUUAAAUACAGACACUGACUUUAUGGCUUAUCAAAAUCUACCUUCAACUCUGCACUCUACAACCUUCUUCCCCCCCCCCCCCCCCCCCCCCCAAAGGAUCUUGCUCUUUCACUUACCAGUUUAUCCUUCCUAGUGCCAUUCUCUUGUCUUUUCCCUAACCACAAUAAUAUCUCUGCUCUUUUUAUAGCUCUGCUCUAUUCCUUUAGGCAGGCUGUUUUAUUUACAUAUAGAGAUUUUUCACAGGUUAUUGCCCUACUCGUUACUUAGAAGCAGACACAGCUUGAGCUUUCUCAGAUGUAAAGCAGAGUACUUUGUGUUCAAAAACUUGUCUGAAAUCUCUCCCAGCCAUCCAGUAAAAGAUACUGUAUUUAUUUGAUUCCAAGAUAAGGUUUUAAUAUGCAGAAAAAAAACUCCUCCUCUUCAAUUGAUUUAUGGGGUGGCAACUGCUAUGGCUCUGGCCCCAACCCUGGGGCACCCCACAGCUGCCUUGGGCCCUGCCCCCCCCCCCCCCCCCCCCCCCAAUCUCCUUUCCCAGACCCAUCUUCCUGGUGCCAUCUGUGCAUUCCAGCAUCCUCAGGCCCCUUCUGCCCCACCCCUCACCUUUUGUUUUCCAUUUAUCUUUGCUCCAGUGCUGGCUGGCUCUAUUCCUGCUUCGGCCAGGCCCUGUAGCAGCAGUGCAGGCUCCCUGCCACUGCUAUGGGGCCAGACUAGAGCUGUAGCCCUGUGCCUCAGGCUGAAGCAGGGAUGGAAUCUGCUGCUGUUGGAGUAAGGGUAAGUAGAGGGCGAGGAGGGUAGAGGCUGCAGGUGGGGAAGAAGCUAUGGUGGGGGGAGAUGGGAAGGGCGGGGGAUUGAGGCAGCAGGUGGGGGGAUGGGCACAAAAGGGGGGUAAAUGUGGAGGGACAAGAAGGAAGGGGCAAGCUGCCUGUGUCCCCCCACCCACUGCUUCCUCCUUUACCUCCCUCUUCACUGUCUCUCUUGCUGCCUAUUCCCCCUGCUGCUGCUUUCCCUGCUACGGUAGUGGUGGGGGACAAAUUUUAAAAAUGAUCUGCCAAUUAAUUAGAUUCUAGACAUGAAAAAUGUAUUAUAAUUUUCAAGUAUACAAUCUAAUAUUAGGGAGUCAUCUUACAUUAAGGGUUGUCUUGGAUUCUGGUAAGUAUGGUACCAUCCCAAAAAAUAUUCUUGCCCCCUCAUAUGAUUUCCUGAACUAUUCUGGUUAUAACAUCACUCUAAAAGUACCACAACUUUUUUUUUCCUAAUACAUUUUUACAGUCCACAUAAGCAUAGUGUUUAUAGAAUAAAUUUUAGUAAGAGUUUGAACAUAAGAUUUUUAAGGGUAAGUAUAAUUCAUUAGAGUUCAAAUUAUGUUGGCUAAUGUGGAAAGUCACCAGCUGCAUUAGUCUGUUUCUGUGGGAGCUGCUCUGUCACAGUUUCUGCAGAGAGCUUUGCGAAGCCCUAGAUGGCAAAGGCCAAAUAUUUCAGUGCUGGCGGUGGUUGAGUAGAUUCUAGUUUACAGACACCAUUAAAACAACAGCUAGGUAAGCAGGUUGUCAAUGUUCAUGGCAAGUGAUAUCUUUAAAUUUGUAUUACAGCAGAAAUUCUAGCUGUUCAGGUAGUGUAGUUGGUCAAAGAAAACUUGAUGGACCACUGACUAUUGACAAGAAACUUUUAUUCAAUUAUGUUUUGCUGUCACCAGACUUCAAAGAAGCCCCUGGACAUACUUUUGAGGGGACCACUGUAAGUGUCCCCAAAUGCCAUCUCUUCUCCUUCCAGGUAUCUCCAAAAUGUUUGUCCCCUACCUGAAAGAGAGACAGACCCUGGGAUGGGUCUGUUGCUGCCCAUUGGGAGUUAUAAACCAUCUUAAAUAUAUGAUUUAAAAAGAUGCACAAAAAAGUCCCCAUACUUAAUUGGGUUGUUAACAAUUGUUGCCUUUCGUCUGCUGUUUCCAGCCCACUAAUCUCAAGAAUGAGCAGGGCUGACAUAACCAGAAAUGAAAAAAGAUGCAAACAGCUUGGAGACUCAGCGUAUUACUUGUUACCAUUUCUAACCUUCAAAAAAGGUAAUGAGUGGACUUUUUGCAUACCUUAUUGCAGGCACUACAAGAUCCGAGUACCUAUCUUCAGCACAUAGAUGAUGAUGUAGUAAUGGGUUAAAAGGAAGCAUGUCAUGGAUGAUGUAUCCAAAAUGUAAAGCAGAGGAAUGAAAUGCUCUGAACCAUUGUGUAAAUAGGCCGAGUAAGAGCAGGAUCAGAAAGAGUACUUGGCAUAGGGGGAGCAGAAGCUUUGGAGAGAGGUUAUGAAGAAGGCAGUACUUCAUACAAUAGAACUUCAACAAUAUUUAUGAUGGUGUUGAAUAAGUGCAAAUGCCCACACUCAAGAGAGUUCCUGUAAAGUUUGGUGCUCAUGCUAACUAUGCUCACAGGAUAAGCUUAUGCUGUUGGACAGACCCUGCUACCGGUGAUGGCACUAAUACAGAUGCAAGUAUAAGCACGUUUUGUUUGUUUGUUUGUUUUGUUUUUUCCCCCCACACCAGUGCCUCUUCAAAUUCUCCAUAAGGUGCUGGGACUGCUUCAUGACAUUGUUCUUCUGGUGUCUUCUUAUACAUGAAUUUGACCAGCAGAUAGCAUAAGAAGUUAAAAAGGUGGUCUCUUAGGACUGGAACCAAGCAAUCCCGUCUCAUUUUACAUGCACAAAAAGGUAUAGAAGCUCCUAUAGAUUAUGGCACUGCAACUGAGUUUUGAGAACCAUAAUGUGGAUGUGAGUAAGCUGACUUGACACAUAUUCAAAAAACCAUUAUGGAUGAGGAAUUGGGGUUCCAAUCAGCUGAGUUCAGAGGUCCUGCCUUAGAAUACCUGGAUAAGCAUUACUGUGUGAAUAUGAACCAAGAUAAACAGAUUUCAUACAACAAAAUCUAGCCUUCUUGAGCAUCUUGACGGUGCUUCCAAUGCUUCACUGAAAAUUAUAUACACACCUGAGUGAUCCUCUUGCGUGGGCCAAGAAGUCAUGAGGAGAACCCAAAAGGCAGCUUUUACAGCAGAGUGAAGGAUGGGAUACUUGUUAAAUUUGAACUCUGCCAUCAUCACUGAAGUUAGACGAAUAGAAGGAGAAAUGGCAGUGGCAAGAUCAUGGCUGGGGCAACUCUUUGUCACUUACCCUUAAUGACACUGAAGAAAAACAAAUGCUAUACAUAAAGAUUGACUUUACAAGUUAAAGAUGGGUCAAGCAGCAAUUGACCACUUACAUUCUAGGUGUAAUUAAAUAUUUAGUCUUUGAGAGUGCUCUCAUUUCUUUAGGAGAAUUUCAGUUUUUUCCUAGUUUUGUUGGCUUCUUUCACUUUUUCUGUUUCUCUUUAUUUUGUUUAUGUCCUGUUUUUCCUUUAUGCCGUGAUCUUAUAUUCUAUUCUGCUACCCUUUACUCCCCAUUCCUUCCUAUGCAGGGAGGUGCUGCUGCUACUGCCACUUCACUUCUGUUUACUCUUCUCAGGGGUUAGUCCCGAUUGCCACAGAAACUUUUGAUUCCAACAUUCCUUUCCUUUCCUUUUUUCUUCCAGACCAUGUGCUUAUCAUUCAAAUAGCAAUAGCUUAGGGGCAAAAAUAUCACUUGUUAUGUAUUUUACUAUGCAAUGACUGACUAGUCUAAGAGACCUGCAAAGAAAACUAAAAUUACCCCCCUACAAAUAUUUCCUUGCAAACAUCACUAAAAAGGGCGGUGAAAGAGCUGAUUUGCCUAAUUCUCUGCCAAAUUCUUCCUCUAACUUCACUUGGCCAGUUGCAACCCUCAUUGAAUAUAGAAGGUGUGCACCUGGAGGGUUUCAGGCAUUUUUUUUCAGUGCAGGAUACAACUGUCAUCUUGUGGUAUUUACAAGAAAACAGAAGUAGAAAGCUAGUUUUCAUUUUAAGUGCAACAUGUCCUUGUGGGAUGGGCAAAGACUAUACAGAAAUUAGAAGAAACAUUUUGGCUACAGAGAUCAACACUACCAUAUUUGCCUAAAGUGGACUACGCCUAUCCUCAGGUUGUAUACCCCAAAGUAGUGCUUUUGAGAUAGGUGGAGUCCAUAAAGAAGCUACUAUACUUGAUGGGUAUUUUUCCAAUGACAUUUAAAGGCCUAUAUAGAUUGGAAGAUAAGUCUUCAUCCAUCCUACACUUCAACAUUCACAGUAUAUAACUCAGCAGGCCUAUUGGUCCUUCUGUACAUCCUCUAUCUUUCUAUAUAUCUGUGCAUUCUGAGGUCGAUGUAUAUUUGAACUGAAUAUAAAGUUGAAAGCCAUCCUAGUAUGGUAUGUAGGUAGGAUAGGUUGGACUACAGGUCACAGAGCAGGGUGGUCCCAGAAUAGUCCAACUUAAUUUAGUGCAAUUUGAAUGUUAGACCUUACCACAAAAAUUUGUGUAUGUUCAUUAUGUGAAAUGGAACAAAGAGACAGGGGAAGAUAGGAAUGGAAAUGAAGGAACCAAUACAUUGUUUACUUCUGGUUUUAAAGGUAAAUACAGCUUCAGUUGCAAAGACAACAGUUGUACACCUCCAGUCCAGCUGUUGUGUUUUUCAGGGAAAUGAAGAGCAUUGUAUAUAAAAAGCUAGAUGUUAUAAUUAAAUUUCACUUUCACUCAGUUUCAAUUUCCCUUUGAAACACUCCCAAUUAAGUAUUUCAAGUAAUAUCAAAGGAGCCCUAUACUUCUGAAUGGCAGUGAUUGAACUGGAAUGGGAAUAUAAUACUUUUCCCUCAAAUCAGCAGUGCCUCAGAAGUUGAAUUUUUGCACUUUUGAUUUUACUUAAAAUGCCAAAAAAAUAAAAGUAAAGUUGAUAUUCUGCUCCAAAUACCUCCUUAAAACUUAUAACUUAAUGUUUUGUGAUGCAUUAAAACCAUUCAGAGAGUCGGUUAUUUGGUGUGGAGACUGUGUACAACAGUUUGUUUCUAGCAGUGGAAAAUUUCCAACACUAGAAAUUGUUCUGAAAAAGGGAGAGGUACAGUUCAGUCUGGAAUGGGGCGAUCACCUUUUCAAAAUGCAAAAGCAAGACACAUGCCAUAAAAAAAUGGGGUGGGGGGUAUUGUGCCAUUAGCACUGCCUGAAGGAGCUGUACAACAAGAAGUAAGUGUGUGGGGGGAGUAAUGUAAGGCACCAGCAUGGGGCAGCUGCAGGAGUGGGGGAGGGGUAAGGAGAGCCAUCUACCCCCACACUCUCCAGCUCUGCGCAUGCGCACACAGUAAGAGGGGGCUGAACGCUGCUUUCCCUUGAGGAGGACGUUCUAAGGGGGGCUCAUCCUUCUGGAGCAUGCGCUGCUGGGCUGGGCUGGGCACCUUGUAAUGUCUCCGAGUGAUGUACAACCAGGGAUACAGAGCCCCAGAGGCUGGGGGUUGGGAAGUGACUCAUGGGAACUAUUUUGAGGGGAAUUGGGACAAAUGCUGUCCCGGAGUCAUUCAGCCUGGGACUUCAUUUUACAUUUUUGGACUGUCUCACCCAAUUAGGGAUGGAUGGUUACCCUAGUUUGGAAACAUCUCUCCCUUGUUCCUUGUGCGUUUCUGAGACUAGGGUGAUCUUGGUCUGGGAAAGUAUGGGUUGCUCCAGUCCUCCCAUUCCCAGGGAAACUGGAGCAGUGAGUUAAAAGUCCCUGCCUGCUUCUCAGUGAGGAUUCCAGUGUGAGAAGCAGGCAGGAGGCUCAUGGCACCGCUUCCUCUGCUUGGCUUCCAGUGCCCUGAAGCUGAGUGGACAAAGUAAUGGGGCAGAACCCACUGACUGCCUCACUCCAUGGCCUCUAGAAUGAGAAGCAGGCAUAGGGCUCAUGGUGCUGCUCUUUCCACUUGGCUCUAAGUGCCUGGGAACCAAAAGGAUGAAGAAGUUGGGCAAAGCCUUCUGCCCGCUUUUCACACCUGGGAAUCCAGUGUGUGAGGAACCAACAGAAAGCAGCUGGCAACUGCUCCUCCUCCAGUCUGAGAGGGCCUGGAGCAGCUGUCCCUUGUGCCUUCUCCAAACUAGGGUGUUCUCAGACUCCAGAAGGCAUGGGAGCCUUUCCUGCAGCUCCACUGCUUCUGCUUCCCAGGAGGACUUAAGCUGUGGGAAAGUGUGCAGAUAUUCACUUUUCCCUUGAGGAACUCUUCCAGGAGUGAUUUCUACCUGGUUGGACUUGGGUUACUUUUUUCUUGGAGCAGCCGUUUUGUUCCAAGAGAUAAAAUGAGAAUAUCUGUACACUUGUGGUUUCUGCCAGGAGAGUAGCAGUUCUUAGAAACUGAUGUCUGUCCACUGCCUCUGUUAUCUUAUCCUAAAUAUUUUUCUUUAACUUGUACCAGGUUCUCCUUCACACUUGUCUGGUUUAUUUGCUUAUUAUUAUUCUCCUGUGCUUAGGCCCUAACCCUUCAGAUGCUUAACAAUAUCUAAUUUUAUAUAUGAAUAGCCCCUUCAACAUGGUGCAACUCAGAUACAAAAUUAAGCCAGUGCCACUCAGUCCUGAUUGGCUCAGCAGCCACAUGAACAGCCUGGCCUCCUUACAGGCAUAGGGAACACUCCUUUUCCUC